GAAAUGCGAUAAGUAAUGUGAAUUGCAGAAUUCAGUGCAUCAUCGAAUCUUUGAACGCACAUUGCGCCCCCUGGUAUUCCGGGGGGCAUGCCUGUUCGAGCGUCAUUUCACCACUCAAGCCUCGCUUGGUAUUGGGCGACGCGGUCCGCCGCGCGCCUCAAAUCGACCGGCUGGGUCUUUCGUCCCCUCAGCGUUGUGGAAACUAUUCGCUAAAGGGUGCCGCGGGAGGCCACGCCGUAAAACAACCCCAUUUCUAAGGUUGACCUCGGAUCAGGUAGGGAUACCCGCUGAACUUAAGC
rnacentral:misc_RNA from 1 species